AAUCACGAAAAAGACCGCCACAUCCAGCAAUAACCCCCAUAUCCUUGCAAGCACCAUCACUAUUAAGCUUGAUCCAACCUUCUCGAGGCCGCUUCCAACCUAUAUAGAUGAUUUCCUUCAACUUUGGACCAAUAUGAAUAUGCUCCAAGUUACAAUCUUCAAUAUCUUGGACAAAUCUCCAAAUUAAAGAAAUUGGGUUAUUCGGCUUAAUAAAAUCAGCUUCAAAAAUAGUUUUAUUCCUCGACUCCCACAAGUACCAACACGUCGUCAUGAAAGUUGUCUUUUGAUUUAAAGUGUUCGUCCCAAUGUCUUUACG
rnacentral:lncRNA from 1 species